UAUAGGCCAUUUCCUGCCCUGUUAAAAGGGAAUUGAAGGAAAGACUUUUUCUGGUGAACAGGGGCUGGAAAAUGUCCUUGGCUUCCUCGAGCACUAAUGUCCAUUAAUCAGGACAAUAGCUAUAGGUCUGUAGUUCUCACCAAGGACAUCUGGACACAUCUGAACACAAUUUGUUGAGCCCUUCCAGAAACUGCCUCAUAGACACCAUCCUGUCACGCUGAGAUUGCCAUGAACUGUCGCACCAACCGAAAGGAAGGAGUCAAACAAGAAAGUCUCUGCUGUGGAAAUCUGGCCACCACACAACUUCCUGGUUGCUGGCUAGAGAUCACGGAAGGAGCUGGCUGUCGAGACAUCUCAUGUGAAAACUGAACAAAUUUAAUACUGAAGUUACUGAGAGGAACUAAAGUGUGACACCCUAUGGAGACUACAGGGUAGACUGUCACAUUCUCACUGAACCUGAUGUGUCAUUGUCCAAGAGAAGCUAACUUCUAUGAGAGUGGCCUGGUGCUGAGGAAGCCUGUGACAGGCCCAUGACUGACAGCUAACCUGAGGCCCAUCCUAUAGAUGUUGAAUGACUAUGAAGGACAUAAAACCAAAGACAAGGAAAGACUAAUGCAUGCGCCUCAUCUCCCUCAACAAGCCACUGACGAAACCACUCCCUGCUUACAGUACUCCUUCAGACCCAAAGGAACAUCUGCUUUAGUCUGGGACAGCUCCCCUGUUACCCAUCAUCCCUCCUUUCUAUUGAUCAUUUAUUUGUUGAAAGGACCAGAGCUUAUAUUUUUGACCGUUUCCCAGAUUCUCAGCUUGUAUUAUUACGGACUCAUUUCUCCAUCACCUGCAUCUUCUCCAAACAGAGGCUUCAGUUUUGCUUUGUGUCAUCCUCUUCCUCACAACCAAAUGCCUCUGGUGCUACUGGACAGGAGGUACCAAUGCUAUCACUGGAGGGAAAAUAUUCUUGGAGGUCAGUUAUUCUUUCAAGUGACUUGGUAUCAAACUUGACUUCCCCGAGAUUCGGAAAAUGAAACGCAUGCAGGUGUGCACGUUCGGGAUGGAAUUCCAAACCAAACAAAAUGCACAGACUUGUGCAAUGGCCAAGAAGGACCGGCAUUGCAGCUCCUUGCAGCUCGGUCUUGGGGAACAGACAUUUCUCCGACAGUAAAUUCCAAUAAAGUUGGUGGGUGUAGCA